CCUACGGGUGGCAGCAGUGAGGAAUAUUGGUCAAUGGACGAGAGUCUGAACCAGCCAAGUAGCGUGAAGGAUGACUGCCCUAUGGGUUGUAAACUUCUUUUAUAUGGGAAUAAAACGUUCCACGUGUGGGAUUUUGUAUGUAUCAUAUGAAUAAGGAACGGCUAACUCCGUGCCAGCAGCCGCGGUAAUACGGAGGAUCCGAGCGUUAUCCGGAUUUAUUGGGUUUAAAGGGAGCGUAGGUGGCUUGUUAAGUUAGUUGUGAAAGUUUGCGGCGCAACCUUAAAAUUGCAGUGGAAACGGGCAGUCUUGAGUACAGUAGAGGUGGGCGGAAUUCGUGGUGUAGCGGUGAAAUGCUUAGAUAUCACGAAGAACUCCGAUUGCGAAGGCAGUUCACUGGACUGCAACUGACACUGAGGCUCGAAAGUGUGGGUAUCAAACAGGAUUAGAUACCCGAGUAGUC
rnacentral:rRNA from 1 species